GAUGAAGAACGUAGCGAAAUGCGAUAAGUAAUGUGAAUUGCAGAAUUCAGUGAAUCAUCGAAUCUUUGAACGCACAUUGCGCCCGCCAGUAUUCUGGCGGGCAUGCCUGUUCGAGCGUCAUUUCAACCCUCAAGACCCCUUCGGGGGACUUGGUGUUGGGGACCGGCACAGGGGCCUGCCUGCUUGUCUUGCAGCGCCCUCGCCGCCCCCGAAAUGAAUUGGCGGCCUCGUCGCGGCCUCCCCUGCGUAGUAGCACAAACCUCGCAACGGGAACGUGACGGCGGCCACUGCCGUAAAACAACCCAAGUUUAUUAGAGUUGACCUCGAAUCAGGUAGGAAUACCCGCUGAACUUAAGCAUAUCAAUAAGCGGAGGA
rnacentral:misc_RNA from 1 species